rnacentral:rRNA from 1 species
UCGGGAAUAUUGCGCAAUGGAGGAAACUCUGACGCAGUGACGCCGCGUGCAGGAAGAAGGUUUUCGGAUUGUAAACUGCUUUAGACAGGGAAGAAACAAGACAGUACCUGUAGAAUAAGCUCCGGCUAACUACGUGCCAGCAGCCGCGGUAAUACGUAGGGAGCAAGCGUUAUCCGGAUUUAUUGGGUGUAAAGGGUGCGUAGACGGGAAUGCAAGUUGGUUGUGAAAUCCCUCGGCUCAACCGAGGAAUUGCAACCAAAACUAUAUUUCUUGAGUGCUGGAGAGGAAAGUGGAAUUCCUAGUGUAGCGGUGAAAUGCGUAGAUAUUAGGAGGAACACCGGUGGCGAAGGCGACUUUCUGGACAGUAACUGACGUUGAGGCACGAAAGUGUGGGGAGCAAACAGGAUUAGAUACCC